UCAAAGGCUCUUUUCAGAGCCACCCACUAAUUCCUUUAAAAGUGCU
rfam:Ictidomys tridecemlineatus contig091240, whole genome shotgun sequence.